AUGAAAAUGUUGAGUUGGAACUGUCGAGGCUUGGGUCAGCCUCGUACAGUUCAAGAGUUGGUGUGCCUCUCUAAGACGCACAGACACAAUGUUAUCUUUUUAUCUGAAACAAGAAAAAAUAAAGAGUAUGUUGAGAGUUUGCGCUACAGGUUGGGUAGAAUAAUGUGUUUACUGUUUCUGCAUGGUAAAGGUGGAGGACUAGCUGUGUUUUGGGAUGAGGCCUACUCUUGUGAGCUGAACAAAUAUGGGGAUCAUUUUAUUGAUAUGUAUGUCGGCAAGGGAGAUGGAACAAGAUGGAGGUGCACUUUCAUUUACGGUGAGCCUAAGGCGAGCCAAAGGUACGUUAUGUGGGAUCUCUUGAGACGGUUAAAACCUCUUGGUGUAGGAGCUUGGUUUAUGGUGGGAGAUUUUAACGAAGCUAUGUGGCAAAAUGAGCAUUUCUCUCGCCACAAGAGGUCUAUUAGGCUUAUGGCUAAUUUUAGGGAAGCUCUGUCCGAAUGUAAUCUAUAUGACUUGGGUUUUCAUGGUGUGCCUUGGACGUAUGAUAAUAAGCAAGAUGGGUUCAAGAAUGUUAAGGUACGACUUGAUCGUGCGGUGGCUUGCCCGCUUUGGUCUUCUAUGUUCCCUCGAUGUAAGGUAUCCCAUAUUAUAAGCUCCAGAUCUGAUCACUGUCCCGUUUUUUAG
rnacentral:rRNA from 1 species